rnacentral:rRNA from 1 species
UACGAAGGGGGCUAGCGUUGCUCGGAAUUACUGGGCGUAAAGCGCACGUAGGCGGAUUGUUAAGUCAGGGGUGAAAUCCCGAGGCUCAACCUCGGAACUGCCUUUGAUACUGGCGAUCUUUGAGUCCGGGAGAGGUGAGUGGAACUCCGAGUGUAGAGGUGAAAUUCGUAGAUAUUCGGAAGAACACCAGUGGCGAAGGCGGCUCACUGGCCCGGUACUGACGCUUAAGAGCGAAAGCGUGGGGAGCAAACAGG